rnacentral:rRNA from 1 species
UACGGAGGGUGCGAGCGUUGUCCGGAAUCAUUGGGCGUAAAGGGCGCGUAGGUGGCGGGACAAGCGUGCGGUGAAAGCCUGGGGCUCAACCCCGGGUCGGCCGUGCGAACUGUUUUGCUUGAGCACUGUAGAGGCAGGCGGAAUUCCGGGUGUAGCGGUGGAAUGCGUAGAGAUCCGGAAGAACACCGGUGGCGAAGGCGGCCUGCUGGGGUAAUGCUGACACUGAUGCGCGACAGCGUGGGGAGCAAACAGG